UACAGAGGUGCAAGCGUUAAUCGGAAUUACUGGGCGUAAAGCGUGCGUAGACGGUUGCGUAAGUCAAAUGUGAAAGCCCCGGGCCUCAACCUGGAAUUGCAUUUGAGACUGCGUAGCUAGGGUGCGGAAGAGGGAAGCGGAAUUUCCGGUGUAGCGGUGAAAUUGCGUAGAUAUCGGAAGGAACACCAGUGCGAAAGCGGCUUCCUGGUCCAGCACCGACGUUCAGGCACGAAAGCGUGGGGAGCAAACAG
rnacentral:rRNA from 1 species